GUCGCGAUUUUCGAAGCGAUGAUUUCCAACUGGCUAACAGGACGGUUUUGCCUACGGUAACUUUUCUCAUCAUUUGUUUACUCCUAUAUCUACAAAGUGCUUUGAACAUCUUCAAUGUAUAUAUAGCAUCAUAAAUAUGAGUAACUGUAACAAAAACAUGCAUUAGAAUAUAAAAUAUACGUGUGCAUCACAUCAACUUGGUAGAAAAAAGUGAAAUCGAUGGACAAGUUUGCUCUCGUAGUACAAAGCAAAUAAUCUUUUAUUGCAAAUAUUUGCAUCAGUUUACAGUUAAAUAUAUACUGUUUCAAUAUUCUUUUCGUAUUUAAGUAGAAUAUUCGUAUUUCCCAUAAAAAAUAUGUUUUCCUUGAGGAUCCCAAAAUAAAUUACUGUACGAUCAGUCUAGAACUGACUGUAUUCUAGAAGCGAUUUCAGAUUUUUUGACUGUAUGACCAGUCGUGAUUUUGAAGAAAAAACAAAAGCAAUUUGAAGGUAUAUACGUGUAUAUGUGAUAUUAUGAACUAUCCAGGGAACUAUAACGUGUAAUUACUUUCAUCAGACAAUACAAAUAUAUUUCUGAUGCAUUUUUUAGACGGC
rnacentral:lncRNA from 1 species